AGAAUUGCAGGAGGAACAUUCUGAAGAAGGAAGAGAGCAUGGGCCAUUGCACAAGAUAAAAGAAAAAAGCAAAAUGUUAAUACUGAUGUAAGAUACAAGAACAAGAAGAUUUGUAAGUAUGUUUCCAAAAAAAAAUUCUAAAAGAACCUCUACCUUCCUGGGUAGAUCCCAAUAAGUAGUGAAAAGGUAAUAACAUGCUAAAAGAAAUUUUUACACUACAUAGUCUAGGUAAUGAUCAUUUGCAAAACAUAAACAAGCGAUAAAUCUGAGACAAUAUGAUUGUCAAUUGCAAGAACUUCAUUGUUGAAGUUAUAACACAUCAUAAACACAGACUUGCUGACACACCAUCACCUAACAAAAUGGUUAAAUACAGAGUGUUAAAGUUAAUUGUCCAAGCAGUAUUUAUUUCCAAUUAUUUCCCAG
rnacentral:misc_RNA from 1 species